GCUUCGGACGUUAUCACGGCAUUCAAUGGCCAUUAUCAGUGGUUGUCAGCUUAUACUUAUGGGCCAAUAGGUGCCUACUCCACCUACUGACAGCGGUGAGUAGGUGCAGCAGGUCGUCGUCAUCUAUUCCUAAAGUAGAUCACGGCUUGGAGGACCAAACCAACUGAAUCCAGAUCCACUAGAGGCGCUGUUGAACCCUUUUUCUUCACACGGGAGAAUCGACGCGCUGACCAAGGUAACAAGUUCAUGUAGUCAGAUGAUAUUUCCUAUAACUUUUAGGUAAAACAUCCAAUUGUGGGAGGCAAAUUUUUAAAUUGGCAUUAUCAAACUGGCAAAUUAUCACAUUAACGCUUUUCAUCGUGGAAAUGUUCCCCUGUUUAGGAUUUUGAUUAUAUUAGCCAGCGUAACUCAGCCACUAGCUAGCUGUAUUCUGUUCUCCCAUUUCAGACGAUAAUUUUAUUACUCCAAUAUUUUUUGGGGUUAUGUGGACAAUAUAAAGUUGUUUUGUACCGUGAACACUAACUUUUCCUACUUCGUUUCUGAGAAAUCCGUCGAGUUUGGUCGGUAAUUUAGUCGUAGUGCGUAGUGUAAAGUACUACAAUACCCAUGAUCCUUAGAUGCUGUUAUCGAGAUACGGCCUAUACGCCAGUCAUGGAUGUGUCGUGAGAUCCGUAACGAACAGAAAACGCUUUGUUAUUAAAGGUAUGCGUAUACAUUCCUAAACCUAGAGUUUUCUAAUGCACCCAUGGGGGAUUCACUAAUUAAAACAGAACACGUUACGUGUAGUUAGUGAAAUACGUUUAAUUACGGCGUAAUGCUUAUUCCCCGCCGUAAGAAGGUCACAUGACCGAAUUUUAAGAUCAAUGAUUGGGUCUUGUUCUUCAACGUCACAUAGAGAGUCGCAGUUAAAUUAUGGUCACGACUAGAUCACAAAAGUUUUUUACAUCCACGUUCUAGUAUUCUCUAUGCUCAAAGAUAAUGUCAUACACCUUAAACACGUUAUUUAUCUUCUCUCUUUCUGUUUGUAUUUCUCUUAGGCAGGAUGGAAGAAAGGGGCAGAACAAUGAUAACAGACAAGCAAAAACAAUCUUUAAAACACUUUUUUGAAAAAGGAAUGAGAAGUGUUGGGUCUCCAUUGGUACAAGCAGCUGCUGAAACCACUGCGUUGCUGCCUUCUAUCAUAGAGAAUUGGAUUGGAAAUUUUAAACGAACGUUGCAAGGACCUUCUAAAGUGAGACCCAUGAAAAACAAGCUGUAUAAACGAAACCUAUCACCAUACAAUCUUUUUUGUAGAGACCAUCUGCAAAACAAAGGUAAAAGAGCUGGCGUGAUCAAUGUCUUAUUUCAUAGCAUAUGUAGUAUAUUUAUAAAGUAAGUAUUUAUUUAAACAGUAUGUUAUCACAGUUGUUUAUAUUUCACCAUUGAAACCUAUGGCAAAAAAAUAUAUUUUAUAGAUUAUGAUGUUUAAACAUAUUUCACAUAUUCAUGGCUAACAGGAAAUACUGUGGGAACAGGCCAAAUUAUAUUUUCUCUAUGAUUUUGAGGAUUCAUUCUAGUCAAAGGUUAUGUCUCUAAGUCUAAGUGUCUCAACUUUCUACUAAUACUCUACUACUACUACUACUACUACUACUACUACUACUACUACUACUACU